rnacentral:rRNA from 1 species
CGCUGAGUUUGAUCCUGGCUCAGGAUGAACGCUAGCGGCAGGCUUAACACAUGCAAGUCGAGGGGUAUAGUUCUUCGGAGCUAGAGACCGGCGCACGGGUGCGUAACGCGUAUGCAAUCUACCUUAUACAGGGGAAUAGCCCAGAGAAAUUUGGAUUAAUACCUCAUAGUAUGUGAGAAUCGCAUGGUUUUCACAUUAAAGUUCCAACGGUAAAGAUGAGCAUGCGUCCCAUUAGCUAGAUGGUAAGGUAACGGCUUACCAUGGCGACGAUGGGUAGGGGUCCUGAGAGGGAGAUCCCCCGACACUGGUACUGAGACACGGACCAGACUCCUACGGGAGCAGCAGUGAGGAAUAUUGGACAAUGGGGCGCAAGCCCUGAUCCCAGCCAUGCCGCGUGCAGGAUGACGGUCCUAUGGAUUGUAAA